AGAACAGAAAGCUGAAAUCAAAACCAGCAAUUACGAAAACAACGGCGAGGCAAGAAGCCCACGAUAACUCAGAUCGAGCUAGCAUUUAGUGCUGGAUCGUAUCGUGAUUCUGAAGGUAUUUACAAACAAUCAUGAUUCUGAUAUUCAAUCAUUGUAAUUCUCACUUCGUAAGCUCUGAAAUUUGUUUCCUGUUUUCUUUUUUUUUUUCCUGAAAGGGAACUGGGUGAGAAUACAGUAUUCGAGAAAUUGGAUCAUGAUAAUAAUUUCGAAGGAAAACUUGAGAAGAAGCUUACGAAAGAUCGGAGAAAUCUUGUCUGAGUUUUGUUCCUACAGUUAGUUUAUUUCUCUCAAAAAUCGUCUUCUUGCUAUUAUAGUUUGAGUUAGCAAUAAUCCCCUUCCUAAUGAC
rnacentral:lncRNA from 1 species